CCUACGGGGGGCAGCAGUAGGGAAUCUUUCACAAUGGGCGAAAGCCUGAUGGAGCAACGCCGCGUGCAGGAUGAAGGCCUUCGGGUUGUAAACUGCUUUUAUAAGCGAGAAAUAUGAUGGUAACUUAUGAAUAAGGAUCGGCUAACUACGUGCCAGCAGCCGCGGUCAUACGUAGGAUCCGAGCAUUAUCCGGAGUGACUGGGUGUAAAGAGUUGCGUAGGUGGCAUAAUAAGUAGCUAGUGAAAUCUGGUGGCUCAACCAUUCAGACUAUUAGCUAAACUGUUAAGCUCGAGACCGUUAGGGGUAACUGGAAUGUCUAGUGUCGGAGUGAAAUCCGUAGAUAUUAGAAGGAACACCAAUAGCGUAGGCAGGUUGCUGGGACGGUUCUGACACUAAGGCACGAAAGCGUAGGGAGCAAACGGGAUUAGAUACCCUAGUAGUC
rnacentral:rRNA from 1 species